rnacentral:rRNA from 1 species
GACGAACGCUGGCGGCGUGGAUUAGGCAUGCAAGUCGAACGGUAUCAUCCUUCGGGGGUGAGAGAGUGGCGAACUGGUGAGUAACACGUAGGUUAUCUACCCUCAAGACGGGGACAACCCAGGGAAACUUGGGCUAAUACCGGAUGUGAGCAACUUUUAGUUGUUUGAAAGGUGGCGUAAGCUGUCGCUUGGGGAUGAGCCCGCGUCCUAUUAGUUAGUUGGUGAGGUAACGGCUCACCUAGGCAAUGAUAGGUAGGCGGCCUUAACGGGUGGUCGCCCACACUGGGAUUGAGAUACGGCCCAGACUCCUACGGGAGGCAGCAGUCGAGAAUAGUCUACAAUGGUCGGAAGACUGAUAGUGCGACGCCGCGUGAACGAUGAAUCCCUUCGGGGUGUAAAGUUCUUUUAUAUGUGAGCAGUGCUUCUUAUAUUAACAGUAUGGGGAGAGAGAUAUUAGCAUAUGAAUAAGCAACGGCUAACUCCGUG